ensembl:lncRNA
AUGGUAAAUGAUUUAAAAGGCAUCAUUUCAUUUUUUGAACUUAAAAUGUACUUUUCUUUUUCCAUCAGGAUGUGGCCAAAGGUUUCAUUGGUGCUUUGUCAUCAUUGCAAGAUUUCAGAUGCAACCCAGUCAGUUCUUCCAAAGCACCAGACACUGGCUCGUGACCAGACCGCUCCACUGCAACUACAUACUCCACCUAGAUCCAGUCUGUAUCCAGAUCAGAUGGCCACUUCAGUCACCCGGAUCCAGUCCGUAUCAAGCACAGUUGGUGGAUCAGCACCUAGAAACAACCUCUACAGCCCUGAAUGUCAGCAGAGACAAGGACAACUAGAUGAGCUCUAGACACGGAUCCCCUCCCAAGACCUCGCUGGCCAUCGUGACAUGACAACGGGAACCAGACAAGUCCUUGCCGCUGCCGCCUCUGGCUUGCUUAUUUGGGGACGCUUAUCUGAUUGCACAGACACUAUUGGAAAAGAUCUGAACUGGAUGAUGACAUCACUGAAUCACCAAUAAACUGACUAACUGGAAAAAUGACUUGUUAUUGUCCUCUUGCAUUAUUGACAAACUAGUUUGCUGUUUGACUCUGUAAAGCUGCUUUGACAUAAUCAGUAUUGUAUAAAGCGCUAUAUAAAUAAAGGUGACUAGACUUGAUUUUAUAUACUGUAACACCUGGUUCAUUUUUUUUUUUUUUUUUUUUUUUACUUCUGCCUCAUUUUAAAGAUGUAAUUGUGGACAGUAGUAAUACGUGUAAAUGUUUGUUUGCCGACAUUUUGUUAAAUUUUAAAUUGUGUAUCCCUCUAGCUAAAUAUCUGUGGUGUCUAGCCUGGUAUUUGGGAAGCCUAAUUCCCACUUGCACACCUACAUGCAUCUAAGCUCGGAGAACAGAGAAACACAUGCCCAGUUAUUGGCAGCUCUGUCAAAUUGAUCUGGUAUUGAAGCUUUGUAAUUAAACUUUCUUUCAUGUGGGAAGUUUGGAUCCCACGGCCCAGAAUUACUCCACCUCCAGAAACCACCUACACACCUUUAGCUCAAUCUGCCUCUCCUUCCCUCCCCUGUUUUUCUCCACUCUUCUUGCAGCACAAACACAAAAUCCUAAGAGAUUGGGAGAGAGUUAUUACUAAUAAAUGUGGACAAAAAUAAUGAAUUUUUUAUGAAAUGCAAUUUUUGUGCUGUGGUAAAGCUUAGCAAAUUCAACUGUUUGGUUUAAGGCAACAUUUUAAUUCUGCUGAUCUUUUUUUAAAAGCGCAACCUCUGAAUCACUAUUGUAUGUUAUUUAAAGGUGACGUUUUGAUUUCACACAGGGAAAUAAGGGGCAUUUAUGUCAGCCAAGCAAGUACAAGGCAAUAUUAGGUUUUUCUUUUUAUUUGAUUUCUUUUUUAUUGCUUUCUCUUCUGUCUCCCCCAAGCUGGGUUGGUGUCAAUCUCCAAGUGUACUAGGAAUACUAUUUAUUUUUAUUUUUUUCCCUCAACCAAUGGAUCCUUUUAAAUUGAGUGGCUUUGAAGGUGUACUGCUGGUAUUUCUGAAGCUCUUCUUCCAACUCCUAUAUAUUUUGAUGAAAUAGUUAUAUUGUCAUUCAUGUUUAAGUUGUGCGUUUUACAAUCCGCAAAUUUGUCGGAUGUGACGAGUGGGGCGGGGCCGAGAGCCGUGGAGUGAUUGGGAAAUGAGCGACACCUGCUCCACUCACCGGUCUCGAGUCCCACGGAGGAGAUCGGGAGGAUACAAAAGAGGAGCGACGACAGUGAAGGACGAGAGAGGACCAGGCCUGGGCUUUAUUUUGUGGUUUGGUUUUUGUUUGUGCGCGGCAGUCGACCUUGAGGGGCUGUCGCGCUGUUUUGUAUUUAUUUUGUCAUUAAAGUUUUAUUUGAAUGUUCGCCGGUUCCCGCCUCCUUCUUCCCGUAAUUAUGUUGUUUUAUAGUAUUACACUGGUGCCGAAACCCGGGAGGAAGGAGGGACGCGCUGCCGAAGAUCCCUUGCCGCUGGGGUGAAUCCGCGGUGCCGUGGAGCAGGGCGUAGCAGUCUGGCGCCGUGGACGCUCGAGGCGGUGGGCUGGAGUGAGUUGCCGGGGACGGACGAACUCGCUGCCGGCCGCCCGNUUUAUAUGGAUUAGUUUUAUGAACUUUUUGAAGCAUGAAAGUGGUAGUUGUGUAGACUGUCAGUGGAGGGACAGAAAUCUUUCAGAUUUCAUUAAAUACAUCUACAUUUGCGUUUAGAAGAUGAUCAAAAGUCUUACGCGUUUGGAACCACAUGAGGGUGAGAAAUGAUGACAGAACCCAUUUUUGGGUGAACUAUCCCUUUAAGUAUUUUGAUGUUUGUAAACACCACUAUUCAUUCGUAAAUCAAUCUUCUUACAUUAUUUAUGACAUUUGAGAUGUAUUUCUUGCAAUCACGCAGUCAGAUUACUAUCAUGCACACUGUAUCAGCUUCCUGAAACAAUACACAAAACCUAUUUGAAAUGAACACCCAGGUAAACACAACAAGAUGCUUGUCACUUGAAGCAGUUUUUACAUUCAUGACAUAAGGAUUGCUAAUGGCACGGAGUGGGAAGGAAGUUUUCCCAUCACUCGUUCACACCUUUUCCUUCCUUCUCCCCAGCAUCCCUCUCUUUAAGUCCCUCAGCCGCUCGCAGGCCAGAUGGCCCAGUCAUCUGCGCUUUCUUCUCGAUUACAUAUUAAUGUGUUUGUCUCUAUUCUGUUUCCUGUGUCAUCUCUAAUACCUCCUUGGAUUUCCAUCAGUGGAUGUCAGGUGGAUCAAAGGCAACACAUGCAUAAGAAGUUGCAGGGUGGAGACACAUGCUGAGGUAGACUUCAAAAGACACAGGAGUACCUUAAGCUCUUUGCCCUGACUUACAUCACAGGCAGGUUAAGAACCGGACGAUCAGUGCCCAGAUCAGAAUCAAAGGAAUUCUGCAUAAUAUGAUAGCCAUACUAGAGUAUUUCAGGUUAAUAUCACCCCUCUUGAUGAAAUCCAGGUCCUAUUUAAAACCAAAAUCAAAUGGGAAAAAAGAAUAAUAUCUGCAUAAAGAAAAUUAAGCCUAUUUUAAGAUCAUUAAGAUUUUUGUGGUGUGACAUUUAAGCAUAUUUCUUUGCACAAAUUUCAAGCAGAUAAUAAUUAUUUGUUAAAAAUCUAAAAUGUUCUAAAAUAUUUGUCUUGGUAUUUUGGAGUUCAAUUAGUUACAGACAGUUUUUGUAAGAUUAGCUCAUAUUAUUACCUGAAACCCCCUAAAAUGAUUCUGUAGUGCAUGAAAGAAUGUGUGUGAAAUAUUGCCGUUGUUUCAUCAUCUUUUUAAUAAUCGCUCUUUCCCAUAAUUGUCUUUUUUUAAUAACAUCUACACUUUGCAAUCAAUGAGCAAUAAGGAUACAGCAACAAUAAAGAGCUGUUAUGGAACACCGCCAAAGAUGAGUUCAUUAAAUUGAGUUAACGGGGGAAGCGUUUUGUGACACAGAAAUAAAGAUAAUUUGUGGUGACAUGUUCUCUGUUUCUGAUGUCAACCCCCUGGUAUGCUUAUCUGAGCUCAAACUGUCGUGUCAUAAACAAAUGUUAUUUAAUUCAGCCAUGCUGGUCAUGACAUUUUUAUCUCAUUUAGCACAUUUAGCACUUCUGUGCUAAGAUGUCUUACUGCAUGAAGAUACUGUAAAUUAAAUGCAAUGACAUAACUCUCAAAGGCGAAGUAGAAUUUGUGCCGACUACAUACUGUGAAGUACUUUCUUGUAUUUUUCUUAAAGAUUAUUAUUUUAUUUUUUUUCAAAGUAAGGUUAUUACAGAUUAUUCAAGGCUAUCUCAAGACCAAUUCGUAUGUAUUUUAUGAGGUGGCUAAUUUGUACGAAUUUGUACAAGCUCACUCGUACAAUUUUGUACGAUUUAUCUAGAGCCCAGUGAUGGGUAGGUUUAGGGGCUGGGCUAGGGGUAGGCCAUUCGUACGAAUUUAUACAAAUUGGGGAACUCGUAAAAUACGUACAAUUUAGCAAAAAUCUUAAAAAUUCAUACGAGUGAGUUCAUAUGAAUUAGCCACCUUAUAAAAUAUGUACGAAUUGCCAUGAGAUCAAGUUGGAUUAUUGGAUUAUGCUUUACAAGAAAAUAGAAUUUUAGUUUUUCUACUUCAGAAUUUCACAGUUAAUUCAAAGUAUUACUUACCGUUUCUUUGUAAGUGUUUGUGAAAUUUGCUAGCAAAUUCUGAAUGAAAAUUGUUUCUGUAUUAAUUUUU